rnacentral:rRNA from 1 species
GAUCAUGGCUCAGAUUGAACGCUAGCGGCAUGCUUUACACAUGCAAGUCGGACGGCAGCGGGGUAGUGCUUGCACUACUGCCGGCGAGUGGCGAACGGGUGAGUAAUAUAUUGGAACGUACCGAGUAAUGGGGGAUAACCAAUCGAAAGAUUGGCUAAUACCGCAUACGCUCUGAGGAGGAAAGCAGGGGACCUUCGGGCCUUGCGUUAUUCGAGCGGCCAAUAUCUGAUUAG